UACGUAGGGGGCUAGCGUUGUCCGGAAUCAUUGGGCGUAAAGAGCGUGUAGGCGGUCCGGUAAGUCCGCUGUGAAAGUCGGGGGCUCAACCCUCGAAUGCCGGUGGAUACUGUCGGGCUAGAGUGCGGAAGAGGCGAGUGGAAUUCCUGGUGUAGCGGUGAAAUGCGCAGAUAUCAGGAGGAACACCGGUGGCGAAGGCGGGUCUCUGGGCCGAAAUUGACGCUGAGGAGCGAAAGCGUGGGGAGCAAACAGG
rnacentral:rRNA from 1 species